UACGUAGGGGGCAAGCGUUGUCCGGAAUCAUUGGGCGUAAAGCGCGUGUAGGCGGUUCGAUAAGUCUGCUGUGAAAGUCCAGGGCUCAACCCUGGGAUGCCGGUGGAUACUGUCGGACUAGAGUACGGAAGAGGCGAGUGGAAUUCCCGGUGUAGCGGUGAAAUGCGCAGAUAUCAGGAGGAACACCGAUGGCGAAGGCAGGUCUCUGGGCCAUAACUGACUGAGAAGCGAAAGCAUGGGGAGCGAACAGG
rnacentral:rRNA from 1 species